AUUUGAUUAGCAUGUUAUAUGAGUAUUAAAUAUUUCAGUACAUUUAAAAUUAUUUUAAAACCAUCAGAAAGUACCCAGGUGACUUUACCCUAGUUCGCACUUGUGUGAAUGUGUUUUCACAGUGUAUGACUCCAUAUGGUUAUUUUAUCCAUUCUGCACUGGUGUGAAUGUGUUUCCACAAUGUAUCACCAGUUAUGGUGAUUUUACCCGCUCUGCACUAUUGUGAAUGUGUUUUCAUAGUGUAUGACCAAAUAGCUCCGCGCACGUAUGAUCAGAAUUUCAGAAUUACAGAAUUGAAUAGCUUUGCCAUGUCUAUUGGUGUUAACCGAUACAUGAGUAUAGUUACUCUGGGUACCUUUUUGGUGUGAUUUUUCAGUAUUAUAUAGCUUAAUAGAUUUCAGAAUACAAAAUUUAGCUUAUUCAGUUGAAAGAAUAAAGAUUUUAGCUUAAAACACCGUGUAAUGAUAUUUUAUUAUAAACCAAUUUUUAGUAAAUUAAAAUAAAUGAAAAAAGUAUAUUUGUUUACAAAAUUAUCCACUCACUGAAUUACAAUUUCAUAUAUUUCAUUUCCCUUUUUCUUAUCAGACAGUAGCUAUGUUGAGUCGCAUCGGAGCCUGUUGAAUUACCAAAUUGAGCCAGUCAAUUGUUAUUCGUAUGUUUCUUUUUGUCAGUUUAUACAGUUCAUAAAUUUUGGGGUAGAUGUAUUUUUUGUCAGUUUAUAUCAUGGGCUCACUACAUAUUUUUCUAUAAGUAAUUCAUUUGGAGUCCUUUAGUUUGUAAAGAAGUAUAAAAUUCAUUCCAACGCACUUUAUUUUUUAUAGUUGUGUUUGGAAGGGCUGAUAUACCCUAUUUUAAAUUAU
rnacentral:lncRNA from 1 species